rnacentral:lncRNA from 1 species
CUCUGCAACAAAAACAGUCAGAGCAGCAUCUUGUACCAAUAAAACCAAAAGAAAGCAAAGUGGUGUGACCAGAGACUCCCCCAGAACUUCAUGUGCAUCAGGUUUGGAGCAACAGAAAAAGGACAGCUGCCAAUUAAAACAUUUUCCAGGAUGAUCAAGAACCUGAAAGAAUCUAACAGAUGAAGAAGCAAAGAGCUGAUAAAAAAGCCCAGGUACACUGAGUGUCUCAAACUAGGCUUUACUCCUGUAUUUUCCUGAAGUGUUGGUCUGCUAUGUGUAACUUACCAACGGUGGUGCCUCGUGAAUAACCAAUAUAGUAUAGCUUUUCCUGCCCAGUCUUCUUCACGAUGUUAUUGCUGCUGGAAGAUCAAACCUGGCCAUCUCAUCAAAACUGCAGACCAGUGUUUCUAAAAACCCUCCAAAACCAGAAUAGCUGGGACACAAGUUGUGCAGAUCCUUCUGAACUUCCCUUGUGCUGUGCCUCCAGUCUGAACUCUGCUAGCAAUAAAGGAGCCUGCCAAUUCCAGCUUUUCAUCUUAUGUAGAAAGAAUGGGAUACACUCUGACUCUUUGAUCACAGAAGAUCACAGAAUCACCAAAGUUGGAAAAGACCUUCAAGAUCAUCCAGUCCAACCAUCCUCCUAUCAUCAAUGGUACUCACUAAACCAUGUCCCUCAACACAAAAUCCAAACGUUCCUUGAAUACCUUCAGGGUCAGUGA